rnacentral:rRNA from 1 species
AUGAUGGGGAGCAGAGGGCCGAAGAUCUCCUCGGUCAUGAUCGCGGAGUCCAGCGGCGGGUCAAGCAGUAUCGUGGGCUCGAUGGAUCUGAUGAAGUUUUUCUUUGAUGAGGACGGAGACGAGGAAUAUGCAGAUGGGUUCAGGGUGUACGACUUACAGGUUCUUGGCAUCCAAGCCGCCGCCGUGCAGGAUGGAUGCCGCCACCGCCGGGUCCUUGAGGAGGUUACUCAGCCGUUGGAAAUGCCGCCCGUUGACGAUCCGCGCCAUCUGGUCCUGAUCGGCGAUGAACCUCUUCAGCGUCGACUUGAGCACCUUGAUCUUCAUCAGCCAAGGAGAAACGAGCCCGCGACGUGUGGUUAG